GAUGAACGCUAGCGGCAGGCUUAAUACAUGCAAGUUGAGGGGCAGCAUGAUAUACGCGAGUAUAUUGAUGGCGACCGGCGGACGGGUGAGUAAUAGGUAGGAGACCUACCUCAUACAGGGGGAUAGCAUAGAGAAAUCUGUGGUAAUACCCCAUGGGGUUAUAUGAAUAGAGGCAUAUAAUCAAAGCAUAAGCGAUUAUGCGGUAUGAGAGGGGCCUACUGACCAUUAGCUAGUUGGUGAGGUAAGGGCUCACCAAGGCGAAGAUGGUUAGGGGUUUUGAGAGAGAGACCCCCCACAUUGGAACUGAGAGACGGUCCAGACUCCUACGGGAGGCAGCAGUAGGGAAUAUUGGGCAAUGGGCGAAAGCCUGACCCAGCCAUGCCGCGUGAAGGAAGACGGCCUUAUGGGUUGUAAACUUCUUUACUACGCGAAUAGAGGUUAGUACGAGAUACUAAUAGGAAGGUAGUGUAGUAAAAAGCACCGGCUAACUCCGUGACCC
rnacentral:rRNA from 1 species